GACGAACGCUGGCGGCGUGCCUAAUACAUGCAAGUAGAACGCUGAAGGAGGAGCUUGCUUCUCUGGAUGAGUUGCGAACGGGUGAGUAACGCGUAGGUAACCUGCCUGGUAGCGGGGGAUAACUAUUGGAAACGAUAGCUAAUACCGCAUAAGAGUAGAUGUUGCACGACAUUUGCUUAAAAGGUGCAAUUGCAUCACUACCAGAUGGACCUGCGUUGUAUUAGCUAGUUGGUGGGGUAACGGCUCACCAAGGCGACGAUACAUAGCCGACCUGAGAGGGUGAUCGGCCACACUGGGACUGAGACACGGCCCAGACUCCUACGGGAGGCAGCAGUAGGGAAUCUUCGGCAAUGGACGGAAGUCUGACCGAGCAACGCCGCGUGAGUGAAGAAGGUUUUCGGAUCGUAAAGCUCUGUUGUAAGAGAAGAACGAGUGUGAGAGUGGAAAGUUCACACUGUGACGGUAUCUUACCAGAAAGGGACGGCUAACUACGUG
rnacentral:rRNA from 1 species